UAGCAAGCUGUACUUGUACAGCGAAGUGGUUGAUGCCAUGCUUCCAGGAAAAGUCUCUAAGCUUCAGUUACACAGGAAUCGUACCCGAAACCGACACAGGUGGUCAGGUCGAGUAGACCAAGGCGCUUGAGAGAACUCUGCUGAAGGAACUAGGCAAAAUGGUACCGUAACUUCGGGAGAAGGUACGCUGUUGUUGGUGAUGGAACUCGCUUCCUGAGCUGACGACAGCCGCAGAAACCAGGCCGCUGCAACUGUUUAUUAAAAACAUAGCACUCUGCAAACACGAAAGUGGACGUAUAGGGUGUGAUGCCUGCCCGGUGCUGGAAGGUUAAUUGAUGGGGUUAGCGUAAGCGAAGCUCUUGAUCGAAGCCCCAGUAAACGGCGGCCGUAACUAUAACGGUCCUAAGGUAGCGAAAUUCCUUGUCGGGUAAGUUCCGACCUGCACGAAUGGCAUAAUGAUGGCGGCGCUGUCUCCAGCAGAGGCUCAGUGAAAUCGAAAUCGCUGUGAAGAUGCAGUGUACCCGCGGCUAGACGGAAAGACCCCGUGAACCUUUACUGCAGCUUGACACUGAACUUUGACCUUACUUGUGUAGGAUAGGUGGGAGGCUUUGAAGCUGGAACGCUAGUUCCAGUGGGGCCGUCCUUGAAAUACCACCCUGGUAAUGUUGAGGUUCUAACUCUGUCCCGUGAUCCGGGACGAGGACCGUGUCUGGUGGGUAGUUUGACUGGGGCGGUCUCCUCCUAAAGAGUAACGGAGGAGUACGAAGGUGCGCUCAGCGUGGUCGGAAAUCACGCGUAGAGUAUAAAGGCAAAAGCGCGCUUAACUGCGAGACCCACAAGUCGAGCAGGUACGAAAGUAGGUCUUAGUGAUCCGGUGGUUCUGUAUGGAAGGGCCAUCGCUCAACGGAUAAAAGGUACUCUGGGGAUAACAGGCUGAUACCGCCCAAGAGUUCAUAUCGACGGCGGUGUUUGGCACCCCGAUGUCGGCUCAUCUCAUCCUGGGGCUGAAGCAGGUCCCAAGGGUAUGGCUGUUCGCCAUUUAAAGAGGUACGCGAGCUGGGUUUAGAACGUCGUGAGACAGUUCGGUCCCUAUCUACCGUGGGCGCUGGAAAUUUGAGAGGAUCUGCUCCUAGUACGAGAGGACCAGAGUGGACGAACCUCUGGUGUACCGGUUGUGACGCCAGUCGCAUCGCCGGGUAGCUAUGUUCGGAAGGGAUAACCGCUGAAAGCAUCUAAGCGGGAAGCCUACCUCAAGAUAAGAUUUCCCUAGGACUUUAUGUCCUCUAAAGAGCCGUUCGAGACUAGGACGUUGAUAGGUUGGAUGUGGAAGCAUAGUGAUAUGUGAAGCUGACCAAUACUAAUUGCUCGUGAGGCUUGACC
rnacentral:rRNA from 1 species